AAUUUGAAAUCUGGCCCUUCCGGGGUCCGAGUUGUAAUUUGUAGAGAGUGCUUCGGGGGAGACCGCGGUCUAAGUCCAUUGGAACAUGGCGUCCCAGAGGGUGAGAAUCCCGUAUGUGACCGCGGCUCGAGCCCAUGUGAAGCCUCUUCGACGAGUCGAGUUGUUUGGGAAUGCAGCUCUAAAUGGGUGGUAAAUUUCAUCUAAAGCUAAAUACUGGCUGGAGACCGAUAGCGCACAAGUAGAGUGAUCGAAAGAUGAAAAGCACUUUGGAAAGAGAGUUAAACAGUACGUGAAAUUGUUGAAAGGGAAGCGCUUGCAACCAGACCUGCCCGUAGGCGAUCAACCGCUGUUCUCAGCGGUGCACUCGUUCUGCGAUCAGGCCAGCAUCGGUUCGGGCGGUCGGAUAAAGGCCUUGGGAAUGUAGCUUCCCUUCGGGGGAGUCUUAUAGCCCUCGGUGCAAUGCGGCCAGCCGGGACCGAGGACCGCGCUUCGGCUAGGAUGCUGGCGUAAUGGUUGUAAGCGACCC
rnacentral:rRNA from 1 species